rnacentral:rRNA from 1 species
UACGAACUGUGCGAACGUUAUUCGGAAUCACUGGGCUUACAGGGAGCGUAGGCGGUGCGGUAAGUUCGGUGUGAAACCUCCAGGCUUAACUUGGAGCUGGCAUCGAAUACUGCCGUGCUAGAGUGUGGGAGGGGAGAGUGGAAUUCCCGGUGUAGCGGUGAAAUGCGUAGAUAUCGGGAGGAACAUCGGUGGCGAAGGCGGCUCUCUGGACCAUAACUGACGCUGAGGCUCGAAAGCUAGGGGAGCAAACAGG